AGUCACCUAGGGGGUGACAGAGCACAUCUGUGUGUGUGUGUGUGUGUGUGUGUGUGUGUGUGUGUGUGUGUGUGUGUGUGUCUGAUAUUUCCAGAGACAAUCAGAUGCCGAGGGAUCUGACCCAGUCAAGAUUCAUCUCUUGAUGAAUUCAUAACACAAUGACUGAGCGGUGAAGAGAGUUGGGGGUAGGGCCCAUUGGGAGCACUAGGUUCCUGGGGGUUUCAAAUUAUUUAUACUGAAGCCACACACAAGGCAAGGAGGCAGAAGCACAAGAAUAUAAUCUCUCUGAAAGGAGAUGGGGACCUAUUAACCUUGAAAAACAGAGUUCCCGAGACUGAUACUGAAUUUUAAGAGAUCCAGCAACCAGUCCUCCACCACCCUCAACCCCAGAUGAUGGGACAGGAGGUUCUCAGAGGUCCUUCUGGCUGUAUGAGAGGAGCGAUCAAAUGAACAGGAACUGAAUGAUCAAAGAAGGGGUAGAUUGAUUUCUACAACGGAGGAGAGAGGAUAGGUCAGUGAAGACAGGAAGCAUCACUGGAUCCUUCGGCAUAGAGGAACCCUUGAGUGUGUGUCUUCUUUCUGUUUGCCUCCUCCUCUCUGCAUCUGUCUGAGGUUGAGCUGCCUAGAUUCCUGCAGAACCAAGGUCACGGGAAAGGUCUUGAGGCUCACAGGGUCAGAGCUGCACACCUCCUUGGAAGACACCAGGAUUUGCUCUCAUUCCACAGAUGACCCAAGAGCUCCUAGACUUGUCUAGAAGACACGUGGAGAACCAGAAUGACAAGGCCUGCUCCUGUGUAUGUGUCCUAAAGGCACUUCCUGUCUGGACUAGUGCAGGAGAUCAGAGUCUCAAAUUCAAGAGCAAGAUAAAUAACCUAUAGAGGGGGAACUUCUUGGAUGAGGUCAACAAGCACCCACAAUUCCUUCAAAGGACAAUGAUCAUGGUUUGGACGGUCAUGACUUUUUGUGGAACAGCAGAGCAGGGAAAGAGUAUGCUUUCUGCUAAAAUCGGCAACAUCAUCUCCUCUGGGAACUCUUAAGAAGCCUGUUACCUGACCUCUUCACAGCCGCACAAACCCAGUCGCCAAUAUUUGCAUACUUUCUCCAAGGACGCAGUUCCCCCGGGACAGUUCAUAAAUCCACAUCUUGGGAAAUGUUCAUAGGAUGCUACAAACUAAACAGGGCUUUGUUAAAUAAAGCUGGGGUGUACUGAU